AUUGAACGCUAGCGGGAUGCCUUACACAUGCAAGUCGAACGGAGUGGCGAACGGGUGAGUAAUGUAUCGGAACGUGCCCAGUAUCGGGGAAUAACUACGCGAAAGCGUAGCUAAUACCGCAUACUAUUGGAGCGGCCGAUAUCGGAUUAGCUAGGUGGUGGGGGAAAGGCUCACCAGGGCAACGCUCCGUAGCCGGUUUGAGAGGACGACCAGCCACACUGGGACUGAGACACGGCCCAGACUCCUACGGGAGGCAGCAGUGGGGAAUUUUGGACAAUGGGGGAAAGCCUUAUCGAGCCAUCCCGCGUGUGCGAUGAAGGCCUUCGGGUUGUAAAGCACUUUUAGGAGGAAAGCGGUACCUGCAGAAUAAGCACCGGCUAACUACGUGCCAGCAGCCGCGGUAAUAC
rnacentral:rRNA from 1 species